UACGGGGAAAGAUUUAUCGGAGAAGGAUUAGUCCGCGUUGGAUUAGGUAGUUGGUGGGGUAAUGGCCUACCAAGCCUACGAUCCAUAGCUGGUUUGAGAGGAUGAUCAGCCACACUGGGACUGAGACACGGCCCAGACUCCUACGGGAGGCAGCAGUGGGGAAUCUUAGACAAUGGGGGAAACCCUGAUCUAGCCAUGCCGCGUGAGUGAUGAAGGCCUUAGGG
rnacentral:rRNA from 1 species